rnacentral:pre_miRNA from 1 species
UAAUAUCCUCAUCAACGGGUACUGUAGAAAGAAGAAAGUGGACAGAGCCAUAGAUCUUUUUCAACAAAUGCCCUCUGAAGGUUUAACCCCAACUAUUCAGACUUACAGUACUAUACUGCAAGGUU